GAUCCGUCAGUAAUGUACAGAGAACCCAAAAGAUGCAGGAAUCACAUGAAAGGGCUGGUUCAGAGGUUUCUUCAGGAUAAACAGCUAACUGAUACUUCUGCAGGUAGGAAUAAGAGAGGCAAAUUAUAGACUUCACAAGAAUUUAUCCUCAAUCUGAUUUGCUGGUAAUGCCCAAUGAUUUAUCAAUGUUUUUCUCUAUUUUUUCUCAUCUGUUUUGUCAUAGGGGACGUCAUACUGCAGCAGUUUGACAGUCUCCUGUCCUUGGAGAGCAGGAGUGAGGACUUCCUCUCCUUUCCUCCCAUGCAGAAGAGGCUGGACGUCUUCCUGUGCAGUGCCAUGGAGCCUUAUCCAGAGCUGUGGGCCUUCUGCAAGAAGCUGCUCAUCCUCUCCCACGACCAAGCUACGGUUGAACGUGGAUUCUCCAUCAAUAAAGAGGUUGAGUCAGAUAACUUGAAGGAGGACACUGUGGUCACACGGAGACUGGUGUGUGACUACAUCAUACAACAUGGAGGUGUUACCCAGGUUCCACUCAGUAAACAGCUACUGGCAAGUGUAGCAAGAGCUAGGACAAGGUAUCGUAUCCAUCUUGAGACCAAUAGAAAGAACAAGGAGGCAAAAGACCAGGCUCUCAAGAGGAAGGAGGCAGAGGACUGUCUUCAGGAGUUGAAGGUGAAGCGAAGAUGCAUACAGGAGGUAUCUGAAGGUCUGGCUAGGGAUGCGGACAGGCUGGCUGAGGAGGCUGAAGCGAAGGCAGGGAGCAAAAU
rnacentral:lncRNA from 1 species